rnacentral:rRNA from 1 species
UACGUAGGGGGCAAGCGUUGUCCGGAAUUAUUGGGCGUAAAGCGCGCGCAGGCGGUUUCUUAAGUCUGAUGUGAAAGCCCACGGCUCAACCGUGGAGGGUCAUUGGAAACUGGGGAACUUGAGUGCAGAAGAGAAGAGCGGAAUUCCACGUGUAGCGGUGAAAUGCGUAGAGAUGUGGAGGAACACCGGUGGCGAAGGCGGCCUUCUGGACAAUGACUGACGCUGAGACGCGAAAGCGUGGGGAGCAAACAGG